rnacentral:rRNA from 1 species
UACGGGGGGGGCUAGCGUUGUUCGGAAUUACUGGGCGUAAAGGGCGCGUAGGCGGCCUACUAAGUCGGACGUGAAAUCCCUCGGCUCAACCGGGGAACUGCGUCCGAUACUGGUGGGCUCGAAUCCGGGAGAGGGAUGUGGAAUUCCAGGUGUAGCGGUGAAAUGCGUAGAUAUCUGGAGGAACACCGGUGGCGAAGGCGGCGUUCUGGACUGUUACUGACACUGAGGAACGAAAGCCAGGGGAGCAAACGGG